UACAGAGGGUGCGAGCGUUAAUCGGAAUUACUGGGCGUAAAGGGUGCGUAGGCGGUUUAUUAAGUUAGAUGUGAAAUCCCCGGGCUUAACCUGGGAAUUGCAUUUAAUACUGAGAGACUAGAGUAGAGUAGAGGGAAGUGGAAUUUCCGGUGUAGCGGUGAAAUGCGUAGAUAUCGGAAAGAACAUCAGUGGCUAAGGCGGCUUCCUGGACUCAUACUGACGCUGAGGCACGAAAGCAUGGGGAGCAAACAGG
rnacentral:rRNA from 1 species